UACAGAGGUCUCAAGCGUUGUUCGGAUUCAUUGGGCGUAAAGGGCGCGUAGGCGGCGGGGUAAGUCUGGUGUGAAAUCUCGGAGCUCAACUCCGAAAUUGCACUGGAUACUGCUCUGCUUGAGGGUUGGAGAGGAGAUCGGAAUUCACGGUGUAGCAGUGAAAUGCGUAGAUAAUCGUGAGGAAGACCAGUGGCGAAGGCGGAUCUCUGGACAAAUCCUGACGCUGAGGCGACGAAGGCUAGGGGAGCAAACGGG
rnacentral:rRNA from 1 species